rnacentral:rRNA from 1 species
UUAAGCGACUAAGCGUACACGGUGGAUGCCCUGGCAGUCAGAGGCGAUGAAGGACGUGCUAAUCUGCGAAAAGCGUCGGUAAGGUGAUAUGAACCGUUACAGCCGGCGAUGUCCGAAUGGGGAAACCCAGUGCAAUUCGUUGCACUAUCGUUAACUGAAUACAUAGGUUAACGAGGCGAACCGGGGGAACUGAAACAUCUAAGUACCCCGAGGAAAAGAAAUCAACCGAGAUUCCCCCAGUAGCGGCGAGCGAACGGGGAGCAGCCCAGAGUCUGAAUCAGCUUGUGUGUUAGUGGAACGGUCUGGAAAGUCCGACGGUACAGGGUGAUAGUCCCGUACACCAAAAUGCACAGGUUGUGAACUCGAAGAGUAGGGCGGGACACGUGGUAUCCUGUCUGAAUAUGGGGGGACCAUCCUCCAAGGCUAAAUACUCCUGACUGACCGAUAGUGAACCAGUACCGUGAGGGAAAGGCGAAAAGAACCCCGGCGAGGGGAGUGAAAAAGAACCUGAAACCGUGUACGUACAAGCAGUGGGAGCACCUUCGGGUGUGACUGCGUACCUUUUGUAUAAUGGGUCAGCGACUUAUAUUCUGUAGCAAGGUUAACCGUAUAGGGGAGCCGCAGGGAAACCGAGUCUUAACUGGGCGUUAAGUUGCAGGGUAUAGACCCGAAACCCGGUGAUCUAGCCAUGGGCAGGUUGAAGGUUGGGUAACACUAACUGGAGGACCGAACCGACUAAUGUUGAAAAAUUAGCGGAUGACUUGUGGCUGGGGGUGAAAGGCCAAUCAAACCGGGAGAUAGCUGGUUCUCCCCGAAAGCUAUUUAGGUAGCGCCUCGUGAACUCAUCUUCGGGGGUAGAGCACUGUUUCGGCUAGGGGGUCAUCCCGACUUACCAACCCGAUGCAAACUACGAAUACCGAAGAAUGUUAUCACGGGAGACACACGGCGGGUGCUAACGUCCGUCGUGAAGAGGGAAACAACCCAGACCGCCAGCUAAGGUCCCAAAGUCAUGGUUAAGUGGGAAACGAUGUGGGAAGGCACAGACAGCCAGGAUGUUGGCUUAGAAGCAGCCAUCAUUUAAAGAAAGCGUAAUAGCUCACUGGUCGAGUCGGCCUGCGCGGAAGAUGUAACGGGGCUAAACCAUGCACCGAAGCUGCGGCAGCGACACUAUGUGUUGUUGGGUAGGGGAGCGUUCUGUAAGCCUGCGAAGGUGACCUGUGAGGGUUGCUGGAGGUAUCAGAAGUGCGAAUGCUGACAUAAGUAACGAUAAAGCGGGUGAAAAGCCCGCUCGCCGGAAGACCAAGGGUUCCUGUCCAACGUUAAUCGGGGCAGGGUGAGUCGACCCCUAAGGCGAGGCCGAAAGGCGUAGUCGAUGGGAAACAGGUUAAUAUUCCUGUACUUGGUGUUACUGCGAAGGGGGGACGGAGAAGGCUAUGUUAGCCGGGCGACGGUUGUCCCGGUUUAAGCAUGUAGGCGGAGGUUCCAGGUAAAUCCGGUACCUUUUAACGCUGAGGUGUGAUGACGAGGCACUACGGUGCUGAAGUAACAAAUGCCCUGCUUCCAGGAAAAGCCUCUAAGCAUCAGGUAACAUUAAAUCGUACCCCAAACCGACACAGGUGGUCAGGUAGAGAAUACCAAGGCGCUUGAGAGAACUCGGGUGAAGGAACUAGGCAAAAUGGUGCCGUAACUUCGGGAGAAGGCACGCUGGUGUGUAGGUGAAGUCCCUGCGGAUGGAGCUGAGACCAGUCGAAGAUACCAGCUGGCUGCAACUGUUUAUUAAAAACACAGCACUGUGCAAACACGAAAGUGGACGUAUACGGUGUGACGCCUGCCCGGUGCCGGAAGGUUAAUUGAUGGGGUUAUCCGUAAGGAGAAGCUCUUGAUCGAAGCCCCGGUAAACGGCGGCCGUAACUAUAACGGUCCUAAGGUAGCGAAAUUCCUUGUCGGGUAAGUUCCGACCUGCACGAAUGGCGUAAUGAUGGCCAGGCUGUCUCCACCCGAGACUCAGUGAAAUUGAACUCGCUGUGAAGAUGCAGUGUACCCGCGGCAAGACGGAAAGACCCCGUGAACCUUUACUAUAGCUUGACACUGAACAUUGAGCCUUGAUGUGUAGGAUAGGUGGGAGGCUUUGAAGCGUGGACGCCAGUCUGCGUGGAGCCAACCUUGAAAUACCACCCUUUAAUGUUUGAUGUUCUAACGUUGGCCCGUAAUCCGGGUUGCGGACAGUGUCUGGUGGGUAGUUUGACUGGGGCGGUCUCCUCCCAAAGAGUAACGGAGGAGCACGAAGGUUAGCUAAUCCUGGUCGGACAUCAGGAGGUUAGUGCAAUGGCAUAAGCUAGCUUGACUGCGAGCGUGACGGCGCGAGCAGGUGCGAAAGCAGGUCAUAGUGAUCCGGUGGUUCUGAAUGGAAGGGCCAUCGCUCAACGGAUAAAAGGUACUCCGGGGAUAACAGGCUGAUACCGCCCAAGAGUUCAUAUCGACGGCGGUGUUUGGCACCUCGAUGUCGGCUCAUCACAUCCUGGGGCUGAAGUAGGUCCCAAGGGUAUGGCUGUUCGCCAUUUAAAGUGGUACGCGAGCUGGGUUUAGAACGUCGUGAGACAGUUCGGUCCCUAUCUGCCGUGGGCGCUGGAGAAUUGAGGGGGGCUGCUCCUAGUACGAGAGGACCGGAGUGGACGCAUCACUGGUGUUCGGGUUGUCAUGCCAAUGGCACUGCCCGGUAGCUAAAUGCGGAAGAGAUAAGUGCUGAAAGCAUCUAAGCACGAAACUUGCCCCGAGAUGAGUUCUCCCUGAGACUAUAAGUCUCCUGAAGGAACGUUGAAGACGACGACGUUGAUAGGCCGGGUGUGUAAGCGCAGCGAUGCGUUGAGCUAACCGGUACUAAUGAACCGUGAGGCUUAACCUU